rnacentral:rRNA from 1 species
CAACAGGGAUUGCCCUAGUAACGGCGAGUGAAGCGGCAACAGCUCAAAUUUGAAAUCUGGCUUCGGCCCGAGUUGUAAUUUGUAGAGGAUGCUUUUGGUGCGGUGCCUUCUGAGUUCCCUGGAACGGGACGCCAUAGAGGGUGAGAGCCCCGUAUAGUUGGACACCUAGCCUCUGUAAAGCUCCUUCGACGAGUCGAGUAGUUUGGGAAUGCUGCUCAAAAUGGGAGGUAAAUGCCUUCUAAAGCUAAAUACUGGCCAGAGACCGAUAGCGCACAAGUAGAGUGAUCGAAAGAUGAAAAGCACUUUGAAAAGAGGGUUAAACAGCACGUGAAAUUGUUGAAAGGGAAGCGCUUGUGACCAGACUUGCGCCAGGUGGAUCAUCCAGCGUUCUCGCUGGUGCACUCUGCCUGGUUCAGGCCAGCAUCGGUUUUCUCAGUGGGAUAAAGGCUCUGGGAAUGUAGCUCCUCCGGGAGUGUUAUAGCCCGUUGCACAAUACCUCUGAGGGGACCGAGGUUCGCGCUCUGCAAGGAUGCUGGCGUAAUGGUCAUCAGCGGCCCGUCUUGAAACACGGACCAAGGAGUCAAGCAUUAGGGCGAGUGUUUGGGUGCAAAACCCGCACGCGUAAUGAAAGUGAACGUAGGUGAGAGCUUCGGCGCAUCAUCGACCGAUCCUGAUGUAUUCGGAUGGAUUUGAGUAAGAGCCUUACCGCUUGGACCCGAAAGAUGGUGAACUAUGCUUGUAUAGGGUGAAGCCAGAGGAAACUCUGGUGGAGGCUCGCAGCGGUUCUGACGUGCAAAUCGAUCGUCAAAUAUGAGCAUGGGGGCGAAAGACUAAUCG